rnacentral:lncRNA from 1 species
CCUCUUUACUACAUUUCCCAGAAUCCUCCUCGACUCCUAGCCCUUCCUAUCUUGCUUCCAUAUUAGCCAACAGUGCUUUAUUUAUCAACCAAUAAGACAAACAUAUAUACAGAAGGACUUCCCCCAUCAGUUUUGUGUAGCCCUGGCUGUCCCCACAACUUGAUCAGGCUGGCCUUGAACUCAGAGAUCUGCCAACCUCUGUCUCCUGAGUGCUAGGAUUAAAGUCGACUAGAGGAGAUUCAGAUGAGCACAUACCAGUAGCUCUGACGAACACAGGUUCUGCUAACUAGAUGCUCACCACCUCAAGAUGGGACCUACUCCAGUGGAUGGCAGUUAAUGUAGAAGUUUUCUUUCACUUGGACCUGAAGCUGUGUUCAUCUGGUUCUCACCGGUUUCAGUUUCACUUUCUGGAACCAAACUGAGUAAGUCCAGUACUGCUCCCAUCUAAACACACUUCCGAGAUCUGAGAAUGAUGUUUGACUGAAAGACCCCUGCCCUUAGCUUUUUCUUUUAAGUUUGCCUCCACCUCCGGUCGGCAGCUGGCGGGGCGCGCGCGCGAAUACAUCCUCCCCUCCCCUGCACUCCCCGACCCUUGAUCCCCACAGCUGCCGGCUCCCACUUCCCGCCGCC